rnacentral:rRNA from 1 species
UACAGAGGUCUCGAGCGUUAGGCGGAAUCACUGGGCGUAAAGGGUGCGUAGGCGGGUCUUUAAGUCAGGGGUGAAAUCCUGGAGCUCAACUCCAGAACUGCCCUUGAUACUGAAGAUCUUGAGUUCGGGAGAGGUGAGUGGAACUGCGAGUGUAGAGGUGAAAUUCGUAGAUAUUCGCAAGAACACCAGUGGCGAAGGCGGCUCACUGGCCCGAUACUGACGCUGAGGCACGAAAGCGUGGGGAGCAAACAGG